CUGUUUUUCACCUCAUCCUCCAUCUUUCUUUCACACUCCUCGCCUUCACAUGACGGCUUAGUGAGCAAAUGAAAAAGAAACAAGGUCGACAAAGCAGACGGGAAAAACCUGCAUUCACCGCAGCAGAGCUGGAUGUAAAAUCAGGUCAUGUAAAACUAUUAAAACUUCCACGAGUGGAAACAAUUUAGAAACGAUGAAAAGCAAAAGAAAAGAGUUUGAGCCUCGAGCUGAGCUUUGAACGACUCGAGUCCACAGACGGGAUCUGUGCAUUCAGAGGUCAAAUACUCUCAUUGUUGUUGUUUUGUUUUUUAUUUCCAAAAUAAAUUUCACAUAAUUUUUUUCUUUGUAAAUAAAUUUCUUCAGAUUUAAAAUAAAAAAUCUCCAAAUUAAAAAUGUUUCACACAUAAGACAUGAAAAUAAAAUAAAAUUCAGAAGGAAAUGUGUGGAACUUUACUGUUGCUUUAUUUAAUUUUUUAUAUAUUUUUUUUAAACUUGUUUCACAUUGGAAGUUUUUUUCAUUUGAAAAACACAUUUUCACAGAUGGAUUAAAUAAAAAAAUGAUGGAACUAAUAAAGAUUAUCCUCGCAAAACUUUUUUCCCUCCAGUUCUCAAGUCAUAAACACAGGAGAGAAAACAAUUUAGAUAAAACAGAAAAGAACAUUUCCUCACUCGCCCCUCAGGGCUUCCGUACAAACAUACAGGUCUUUAUUUCCAACAUUAGUUCCACUCACAAACAUUUAUCAGUUGGCAAGAACUGGAUGUAAUAUUCAUAAUGUUAUAUCUGAUAAUAAUCCAACCUGUCACACCUGCAGGGUCACAUUCCUAAACUCUACAUACGUCAUGUGACCCGCUGAGAAAAUAAAACCAUUGAUAAAUGCAGCUUUCACUCAGACAAACCAUCCAGAAAUCACAAUAACAACAGUUGAUGUCUGUAGUCGUGCCCUCUGCUGCAGAUGUGGAGGACUUCGUCUCCCUCAUGCACCAUCAGAGAGGAGCAGCUAUCAGUUCUGGCUGCCUCCAUUAGUCCUUUUAGGUCCUGGUUGUGUUGUGGCGUCGCCUGGAGCUCUUCACCACGACCUUCAUCUGUAUGUGUGUGUUCAGCAGGGACUCAGUGUGAAACAGACUCAUGGCUGCACUCAGUUAGAGUCCCCUUAGUUUUCACAGAGAGAGUUACAGCCAAGGACACAGAGGAGUGUUUCUAUCACAUCACUCUCCAUCUCCUCCUCUUUCUUCUCUGAAGCUUCAGGGAUGUUUCUUUUCCUCGUUAUCAGUCAGCUCAGCGAGGAAACAGUUCACGCUUCACAUGUCUCUUAUUUUAUUUUCCUCACAGCUGCUGAGAACAUUUAGCCUGCAGUAGGAAAAAGGACAAGACAGCCGAGCAGAUGUGAAGCAGCCGUGAGCUUUGUUAUUUCCUCCUCACGCCGCACAUGAGGAGUAUAAUAUUCAGCAUUACAGUGAUGAUGAAGAACCACGUGAAACCUUUGAGGAGGCGGAAAACUACAACUGUGUCAUUCUUUAUGAUGACUGUCAGGUGAAAACACGCUGCAGCGAGGACGGAGCCUCGUUACAUCGGAGGCCUGCUCUGCCAACUGAGUAUAAAAGAUUCUGAAAUUUUGGGGGAAAUUCUGAAGAAAAAAGCUGCCAAGACAAUAAAACAAUAUCAAUACGAAACAAAA